rnacentral:lncRNA from 1 species
GGAGAGUGAGAGGGAAGGGCAGCCAUACUCCUCUGAGAGUCCUGUAGAAACAAUACUGAGGACUUGGAGCAAGCCCUUGACCUCUCUGGGCUUGGUUUCCUGCUCUGUAAAAUGAAAGGAUUCAAACUAGAAUGAUGUCUAAGGUCCUUUUGUGUUCAUGAUCCCUGAAAGGCCCUAGGUAGGGAUCAGGUGGCUGCUGAGGGGCACCUGCUCGCAGGAUGGCCCUGAGUCUGUUGGGGGAGACUGGACAUUCCCCCUCCCCAACCCUUCCUGUCAUCCCCUUCAAGACACGAACAUUUUUACCAGAGCUGAGUUUUUCUAAUACAGCACUGGGAGCCCAUUGAGGGGACAGAGGGUUCCAGGCUCGGGUCCUGAAGGGACCCAGCUGGGACACUUAGGAUCACCCAGCUCAUCCACCUGAGCCACUCCUUCAGUUUCUCCAGAGUUGGGUGGGGCCAAUCGAAGGCUGCUCUGGGGAACUCCAACCUCUCAUCGUUUGUCAAUGGAUGAAGCCCUGUGUGGGCACCGGAUGGAUGGCAUGGGCUCCCCUGAUAGGGAAGACUGGACUUCAGGAAUGCAGGCAAGAAUGCAGGAAUCCAGCUUGUAGGAGGCAGAGAGGUAAGUGGGAAAGAACACUGGCUUAAGAGUGAGGGAGCCAGAUUCAGAUUCUACCCCCUGAAGCUGACUCCCUUGUAAACCUAGGGGGCAAGUCCCCUUACUUUCCUA